AGUGAACGCUGGCGGUAGGCCUAACACAUGCAAGUCGAACGGCAGCACAGUAAGAGCUUGCUCUUACGGGUGGCGAGUGGCGUACGGGUGAGGAAUACAUCGGAAUCUACUUUUUCGUGGGGGGUAACGUAGGGAAACUUACGCUAAUACCGCAUACGACCUACGGGUGAAAGCAGGGGAUCUUCGGACCUUGCGCGAUUGAAUGAGCCGAUGUCGGAUUAGCUAGUUGGCGGGGUAAAGGCCCACCAAGGCGACGAUCCGUAGCUGGUCUGAGAGGAUGAUCAGCCACACUGGAACUGAGACACGGUCCAGACUCCUACGGGAGGCAGCAGUGGGGAAUAUUGGACAAUGGGCGCAAGCCUGAUCCAGCCAUACCGCGUGGGUGAAGAAGGCCUUCGGGUUGUAAAGCCCUUUUGUUGGGAAAGAAAAGCAGCAGGUUAAUACCCCGCUGUCCUGACGGUACCCAAAGAAUAAGCACCGGCUAACUUCGUG
rnacentral:rRNA from 1 species